CUUAUUCAAUCUUUUUUGCCAAACUGCUAAUUUAAAGGAAUGUAAACACACCAACACCAGUUGUUAAUUGUGAAACAUGAGUUACACUUACAAUUCUAAACUUAAUGACUACCACCGAUGUACACAUGCACAGAACAAUUAUGGAGCCCCUACACAGGAUCCCAAAUUCCACAUCAAUAAAGUUAGGCAGUCCAUUUCACUGUGGAGGAGUCUUUUGUAAAUCCAGCUUCCAAAUUAUAGAUGUCAGAUAGAUACAUGAAUAAUAUAUGACUGCUCUAGGAACUUCAGCAUUCAAAAUAAAAACCAGUAACACAAAGCACAAUAAUAUAACACCCUUUAUAUAUAUAUAUAUGUGUAUAUAUAUAGGUGCAGGAGUG
rnacentral:misc_RNA from 1 species